CCUUGCUAGCUCUCUGAUUAUCAAAUUACAAGCAAUCUUUUGAAGAAGAUAUCAGAACCUUUUAAUUUGUGGUGGAAGGAGCAGUAUGAGUUCAAAGAUAAAGACGCAGACAGCUAUUAGCCCUGCCCCAACUUCUAGUAGCACUCAGACCCAGGGCACCACUAUAAGACGUCCCACUAAUGUCCCUAAUGGUCAGGAUGUCCGUUCCAAUGGGGGUCAUCCUUGACUCUUUCCAAUUUCAUUUUCAGAUGAUCAUCAAGUGCCGUUCUCGAUAAAAGAAUAAGGGAAGCAAAAUAUUAUAGCGCAGUUCUAUCAUAAUUAUAUAGCUAGAAAGAAUAAGAAUACUAUGAAAAAUAUUUUGGUUUUAUUUUGCGUCUAGAAAUGAUUUGUUGUUCUUGUUGCUUCCCAUAAAUAAUAUACAAAGUCAAAUGUCUGAGUAGUUUCA